rnacentral:rRNA from 1 species
CCUACGGGUGGCUGCAGUCGAGGAUCUUCGGCAAUGGGGGCAACCCUGACCGAGCGAUGCCGCGUGAGCGAUGAAGGCCUUCGGGUUGUAAAGCUCUUUAGUGGGGGAGAUCUAUCCCAAAAAUAAGCUCGGGCUAAGUUCGUGCCAGCAGCCGCGGUAAGACGAACCGAGCGAACGUUAUUCGGAAUCACUGGGCUUAAAGGGUGCGUAGGCGGACUGUCAAGUCUGGGGUGAAAUCCGGCAGCUCAACUGUCGAACUGCCUCAGAUACUGAUGGUCUCGAGGAAGGUAGGGGCAUGCGGAACUGUAGGUGGAGCGGUGAAAUGCGUUGAUAUCUACAGGAACUCCGGUGGCGAAAGCGGCGUGCUGGACCUUCUGACGCUGAGGCACGAAAGCUAGGGGAGCAAACGGGAUUAGAUACCCUUGUAGUC